UACGUAGGGAGCAAGCGUUGUUCGGAUUUACUGGGCGUAAAGAGCGCGUAGGUGGUUCGAUAAGUCGGAGGUGAAAUCCCUCGGCUCAACCGAGGAUCCGCGUCCGAUACUGUCGGACUUGAGUGCAGGAGAGGAGAGCGGAAUUCCCAAUGUAGCGGUGAAAUGCGUAGAUAUAGGAAGGAACACCAGUGGCGAAGGCGACCACCUGGACUGAUACUGACACUGAGGUGCGAAAGCGUGGGGAGCAAACAGGAUUAGAUACCCCUGUAGU
rnacentral:rRNA from 1 species